UACGUAGGGUGCGAGCGUUAAUCGGAAUUACUGGGCGUAAAGCGUGCGCAGACGGUUGCGUAAGUCAGAUGUGAAAGCCCCGGGCUCAACCUGGGAAUUGCAUUUGAGACUGCGUAGCUAGGGUGCGGAAGAGGGAAGCGGAAUUUCCGGUGUAGCGGUGAAAUGCGUAGAUAUCGGAAGGAACACCAGUGGCGAAAGCGGCUCCCUGGUCCAGCACCGACGUUCAGGCACGAAAGCGUGGGGAGCAAACAGG
rnacentral:rRNA from 1 species